rnacentral:rRNA from 1 species
AGGGAUCCUUACCCAACAAAAUAU